UAAAUUUUAGUUUAAAUAAAAAUAAUUCAUUUACAUUGAAUAGAUUUUAAUGUAUAAAAAAUUUAA
rnacentral:tRNA from 1 species